rnacentral:lncRNA from 1 species
AGACUUAAGGCCACUCUUAAGCUUCUGGGGCUUCAGGUGCCUGUCAGUAAAGUGAAGAUAAUCACAACGACUAUUUCACAGACCACAGGGAGGAUGUUGGGGGAAGGGCGAAUUUUAUGUGGGGCAGGGAGGUUGGGGUGGACACACAUAACUGCGCUGCUAGCACACAACAAACAUUAACUGCUCUCAGGAACAAUUAUUAAUCUGCCUGAGAUUGCACAGCUGAUAAGUGGCAGGGUCAGGAUUCACACUCAGGCCUGCUGACCCAGGGACUCUGGAUCUUGAACAUCCGCUAGUCAGUCUCUUGUGACACAUCCAAGGCCAGGCUCUGCCCCAAGGGUCAUUCCCAGACUCCAGGACCUGCAGCGAGCCUUCCGCUCUCCCCCUGCUCUCCUCUGGCUCUCUCCGCCCUGACUACAACCCUCUCCUUGGACUGGUUUUUCAGCGUCUGGGCAGCAGGCCCCAUUGCUCCCGUAUCCUGUUCCCAUGACUCUCAACCAACUCCCCAUCUCUCUUCAAGCCUUACCCUCUGACUUCUUCCACCAGGAAGCCUGCCUGGGUUGGUUCCUCCUUUUUGGUGCCUCCACAGCUUCCUCUCUCUGAUCCCUGAGGCCACAAAACUCAGUUGUCAGUUCUCCUUUAGGGCCUGUCUUCCCACCAGACAGAGCCCUGUGGGGGCAGGGGCCUGUCUGCUGGGCUCACUGUUGAGCUUUCUGGGCCCUCCACCAGGAAGAUGGUGGAAGGAGGGAGCGGUGGGGGGCGGGGCGGGGGCUGGGUCAUCUCAACACAGCCACAGCAAAUCCUGACUACAUUUCACGUUUGUCCACUCCAGCUCCCCUACCCACUUACGGUUCUCUCCCUUGUACCGUAGCAAGCUGGGCUCUGCUCCCCCAGGCUGGGGUGGGGCACAGAGUCUCCUGGAAUUCUGGACUCGGGAGACUGUCACAUCAAUUUUCUUUUUCCCACCGGGGCUCUGCUGCCUCCAGCUGCCUAUUCCCAGUGGAACCGCUUUCUGUGAGAAGUCGGAACAGAAACCUGCCCUUCUGGCGCUGUGGCACAGCGGGUUGAGCUGCUGCUUUCGACGCUGGCAUCCCAUAUGGGUGCUGGUUUGAGUCCUGGCUGCUCCACUUCUGAUCCUUCUCCCUGCUAAUGCACCUGGGAAACCAGGGGAAGAUGGCCCAAGUCCUUCCACCCCUGCCACCUGCGUAGAGUUCCUGGCUCCUGACUGUAGCAUGGUCCAGUCCUGAGCCACUGGGGAGUGAACCAGCAGAGGAAGAUAUUCUCUCCUCCCACCAACUCUGCCUUUUGGAUAAGUAAAUAAAUCUAUA